AACGAACGCUGGCGGCAUGCCUAACACAUGCAAGUCGAACGAUGCUUUCGGGCAUAGUGGCGCACGGGUGCGUAACGCGUGGGAAUCUGCCCUUGGGUUCGGAAUCACAGUUAGAAAUGACUGCUGAUACCGGAUGAUGUCUUCGGACCAAAGGUUUAUCGCCCAGGGAUGAGCCCGCGUAGGAUUAGGUAGUUGGUGGGGUAAUGGCCUACCAAGCCGACGAUCCUUAGCUGGUCUGAGAGGAUGAUCAGCCACACUGGGACUGAGACACGGCCCAGACUCCUACGGGAGGCAGCAGUGGGGAAUAUUGGACAAUGGGCGCAAGCCUGAUCCAGCAAUGCCGCGUGAGUGAUGAAGGCCUUAGGGUUGUAAAGCUCUUUUACCAGGGAUGAUAAUGACAGUACCUGGAGAAUAAGCUCCGGCUAACUCCGUGCCAGCAGCCGCCGUAA
rnacentral:rRNA from 1 species